UAUAACUUUAUAAAACUUCAAGUAAUAAUAAAUCCCUUCAUGAUGAAUUUUCAACAUUUAAAGGAACAAAAUGUUUGUAGACUGUUAAAGAAGUUUUAAACACAUUUGUGACAACUAAGAGGUCUCUAAGGUGCAAUUAAAAAGAUGCGAUUGAUAAUAUAACUCUUAUUGCAUUUAAAUCAAUAUUAUCAACUUUGUCUCAAUGUAAAUAUAUUUAACGCAUAUGAUUUAUACCAAAAGAUAACAGUUAAAUAAAUAAUAUUUUUGAAGGAAUGCUAUAAGGUUUCAUUCUGUCAAAGUUGACUGCAAAGCCACACCUACACGACAAUCUAGACAUCUUGUUUUUGUCACAAAAAUAUAGUCUAGAAAGUCCAUGCUAGUGAAACUAAGCUUAAUUAUUUAACCUGCUAAACCGUCCAUUACAGUGGGCAUGCAGCAAAUGUUUUUCUAGUCUCUUUAUUAUCACGUCACAACCCCACCGGCUCCUCUCGGUUUAGUUUGGUUGUUUUUAAACCGUAAAAAGCCGAAUCAAACAGACCUCAUUCUGACGUUAUUGAAGCUUUGCCGAUUUCUCAAUUGAUUUUAAGAGUUAGCAGCCUAGCUAACUCCUUCAUACCCAGACAGAAGCAGGCUGGCUAUCAAAGUUAGCAGACAGAUCUGUUCAUCUCGAUGUCUGUACACUUAAUAUGAUCACAAUCUCAACAGAAAUACCUGCUCUCGUCUAUGCCUGCACGUCCCACUGCUGAGGGUCGGAAGUUUGCUGCGAGAAAGCUGACGACUUCCGUCUCCUGACCAACCAGAUCGCUCCUUCCAUGGGCGAAGGUUUUAUUGCGGAUUGCAACCACGAUUUAUCAGAUAUUCCACAACAGCAUCCUGUGCAUCUUUCUCCUGUUGUUCCCAAAACACCUUCAAGGAAAGGACGACUUCUUCAUUUGGCUGACCUGUGCUCCAUUACGCUCACUGUAGGGAUCAUCUUCACUCUCUUCCUCUUCUGCUCUCUUCUGUCUGUCAUGCACUGAGUCAUCAAGAGUCUAAUGGAUGUCGCAG